rnacentral:tRNA from 1 species
AGGGGUAUCGCCAAGCGGUAAGGCAAAGGACUUUGACUCCUUUAUCCGUAGGUUCGAAUCCUGCUACCCCUGCCA